rnacentral:rRNA from 1 species
AAUGAACGCUGGCGGCGUGCUUAACACAUGCAAGUCGGACGAGAAAGGCUGAUUUCGGUUGGCCGAGUAAAGUGGCGCACGGGUGAGUAACGCGUAGGCAACCUACCCUUGUAUUGGGGAUAACCCCGCGAAAGCGGUGCUAAUACCGGAUACGAUCCUUAUGCGGGAGCAUGGGGAUGAAAGUCGGCCUCUCGAAGAAGAUGACGUACGAGGAUGGGCCUGCGUCCUAUCAGCUAGUUGGUGGGGUAGUGGCCUACCAAGGCGACGACGGGUAGCUGGUCUGAGAGGAUGAUCAGCCACACUGGCACUGGAACACGGGCCAGACUCCUACGGGAGGCAGCAGUGAGGAAUUUUGCGCAAUGGCCGCAAGGCUGACGCAGCAACGCCGCGUGGGUGAAGAAGGCCUUCGGGUCGUAAAGCCCUGUCAGGUGGGAAGAAAGGAUCUGUCAAGAAACGGAUGGAUUUUGACGGUACCACCAGAGGAAGCACCGGCUAACUCCGUGCCAGCCGCCGCGGUAAGAC